rnacentral:lncRNA from 1 species
UGUUCCUGUAAGGAUGUCAUCAGGCCCCAGAGGAACAGAACACUUACAGAGGAAAACAAUGGUAUGAUACACCUUGAUAUACAUCAGCCAGUUUAUUAGGUACAGCACCUAGUUCUCCAAAACGGAUCGCUCCAGACAGUGGGUAACGUGGCCGUUGCUUGCUAUAUAUAGCAUGCAUAUAGGCAUUGAGGCAUUGAGUUACUGUUGGAUUGAACGUUAGAAUAGGCAAAACAAGAGACCUAAGCAACGAUGGUCAGUGCCAGGCACGCCGGAUACAGUCUCUCAGAAACAGCAGACGACCUUUACCGAGAACGGUUUGACCAACAAAAAACAUUCAGUCAGCGGCAGUCCUGUGGGCAAAAACAGCUCAUUGAUGAGAGAGGUCGAAGGAGAACGGCAAGAAUCACGCAAGCGGACCACAAACAGACAAAUCACAACGCAGAACAACAGUGGUGUACAGAACGGCAUCUCGGAACACACAACUCGUGGAUCCUUCACGGAUCGGCUAUUGCAGCAGACAACCACACAGGGCUCCAGUGGGCACGCGAUCACCAACACUGGACAAUUGAGAAGUGUAGAAAUAUUGCCUGGUCAGGAUUUGGUGUAAACAGCAUGAGUCCAUGGACCCAUCCUGCCUGGUGUCAGCGGUAUAGGCUGAUGGCAGAGUCAGGAUUUGGUGUAAACAGCAUGAGUCCAUGGACCCAUCCUGCCUGGUGUCAGCGGUACAGGCUGAUGGCAGAGUCAGGAUUUGGUGUAAACAGCAUGAGUCCAUGGACCCAUCCUGCCUGGUGUCAGCGGUACAGGCUGAUGGCAGAGUCAGGAUUUGGCGUAAACAGCAUGAGUCCAUGGACCCGUCCUGCCUGGUGUCAGCAGUACAGGCUGGUGGUGGUGGACCGCUGUCCAAUCUGCAGCAACUGCAUGAUGCCAUCGCGUCAGCAUGGACCAACAUCCCUGUGGAACAUUUCCGACUUGUAGAAUCCAUGCUCGAAGAAUUCAGGCUGUUCUGGAGGCAAAUGGGGGUCCGACCCGGUACUAGAUGGGUGUACCUAAUAAACUGUCCAUACACCUGAUAAUAAUACAUCUGGAUACCCUCACCAAGCCCUUAUUGGGUUAGGGUUAGAUAGUGUCAUGAGGGAGAAGAAUAUGGCCCUUAAAAGAGAAAACACACUAUGUAAUACACCCAGAUACUCAACAAGCCUUACUGUAAUAGACAAAUAAUAAUCUGACCUGAAUUAAUCAUCAAAUAGAAAUGGGAGUUCCUCCUUCACAAUCAGAAUAAAAUGUACAGUCUUAAAUCACAACCAGAAUAAAACGGAUAGUCUUGACAAUCUGUCAAACAAAACCGCCACUCAACACAUACAGUAACCUAAUCUUAACCCAGUACAGGGGAGGGUACUAUCCUAACCCAGGACAGGGGAGGGUACUAUCCUAACCCAGUACAGGGAUGGGGAGGGUACUAUCCUAACCCAGUACAGGGACGGAGGGUACUAUCCUAACCCAGGAUGGGGGAGGGUACUAUCCUAACCCAGUACAGGGAUGGGGAGGGUACUAUCCUAACCCAGUACAGGGGAGGGCGCAAUCCUGCAGAAUAAAAAACAUUUUGGAAGGCAGAUAAAAAUAAGACUGAACAAAUUUGAUUACGAGGUUCAAUGUUUUACAUGACAAUGCAUGUUAAAACACUGCAGAUGAACCAUGCUGGUGCCUUUCCCUACAGGACUAACUGGAACUUCCUGUACCCUGUCAUGUGACUAUGGAGUUUCCUGUAUCUGUGUGUGUGUGUGUGUGUGUGUGUGUGUGUGUGUGUGUGUGUGUGUGUGUGUGUGUGUGUGUGUGUGUGUGUGUGUGUGUGUGUGUGUGUGUGUGUGUGUGUGUGUGUGUGUGUGUGUGUGUGUGUGUGUGUGCUAUUGGACCAUGGUAAUAUCCCAAGGCAUUAGUGUUAGCUAGGUUUAAGCUUAGGUUUAGUUUUAGUGCUAGGUUUAAGCUUAGGUUUAGUUUUAGUGCUAGGUUUAAGCUUAGGUUUAGUUUUAGUGCUAGGUUUAAGCUUAGGUUUAGUUUUAGUGCUAGGUUUAAGCUUAGGUUUAGUUUUAGUGCUAGGUUUAAGCUUAGGUUUAGUUUUAGUGCUAGGUUUAGGGUUAGGUUUAGGCGUAGGUUUGCUCUGUACAGAUGGCUUUAGUGAAAUAGCACCGUUUUCUGUGUAAAAAUACUGUCCUGAACCUUUUACUCUGCCUUACAGCAUCACAGACAGGUAUAAAAUCCAUACAAACCAGUAGCUAGGGAUAUUAGAAAACAUAUACUGGAAACUUUCCUGUCAACAUUGCUUAAAAUUCAUAUAAAACAUGUAUACUAGUGAGGUUCAUUCGAGGUCUUCCUGGCAGAAUAAACUAAUUUAGGCCAAAGAUUUACACACAUGGUAAUGUAGCAGACUAACAAGGUAAUAUGAUAGACAAACAAGAUAAUGUAGCAGACUAACAUGAUAAUGCAGUAGACUAACAUGAUAAUGCAGUAGACUAACAUGAUAGUGAAGUAAACUAGCAUGUUAGACAACAGGGUAAUGUAGUAGACUAACAGGGUAGACUAACAGGAUAAUGUAGUAGAAUAACAACAGGGUAGACUAACAGUGUAGACUGACAGGAUAAUGUAGUAGACUAACAGGUUAGACAACAGGGUAAUGUAUUAAACAAAUAGGGUAGGCUAACAGGGUAGACUAACAGGGUAGUGUAGAAGACUAACAGGAUAAUGUAGUAGAAUAACAACAGGGUAGACUAACAGGGUAGACUGACAGGAUAAUGUAGUAGACUAACAGGUUAGACAACAGGGUAAUGUAUUAAACUAAUAGGGUCGACUAACAGGGUAGACAACAGGGUAAUGUAUUAAACGAAUAGGGCAGGCUAACAGGGUAGACUAACAGGGUAGUGUAAAAGACUAACAGGGUAGACAUGCAGGGUAGUGUGUAGACUAACAGGGUAGACAAACAGGGUAGACUAACAGGGUAGUGUGUAGACAAACAGGGUAGACUAACAGGGUAGUGUAGUAGACUAACAGGGUAGGCUAACAGGGUAGUGUAGUAGACUAACAGGGUAGACUAACAGGGUAGUGUAGUAGACUAACAGGGUAGACUAACAGGUUAGACAACAGGGUAAUGUAGUAGACUAACAGGGUAGACUAACAGGGUAAUGUAGUAGACUAACAGGGUAAUGUAGUAGACUAACAGGGUAGAUAACAUGGUAAUGUUAUAUCUGGAGUAUUUCUCCUGUCUUAUCCGGUGUCCUGUGUGAAUUUAAGUAUGCUCUCUCUAAUUCUCUCUUUCUCUCUUUCUUCUUUCUCUCUCUCUCGGAGGACCUGAGCCCUAGGACCAUGCCUCAGGGCUACCUGGCAUGAUGACUCCUUGCUGUCCCCAGUGCACCUGGUCGUGCUGAUGCUCCAGUUUCAACUGUUCUGCCUGCGGCUAUGGAACCCUGACCUGUUCACCGGAUGUGCUUGUUGCACCCUCGACAACUACUAUGAUUAUUAUUAUUUGACCAUGCUGGUCAUUUAUGAACCUUUGAACAUCUUGGCCAUGUGCUGUUAUAAUCUCCACCCAGCACAGCCAGAAGAGGACUGGCCACCCCUCAUAGCCUGGUUCCUCUCUAGGUUUCUUCCUAGGUUUUGG